rnacentral:rRNA from 1 species
AGCGAACGCUGGCGGCAGGCUUAACACAUGCAAGUCGAGCGGGCACUUUCGGGUGUCAGCGGCGGACGGGUGAGUAACGCGUGGUAACGUGCCCUCUGGUUCGGAAUAACUCAGGGAAACUUGAGCUAAUACCGGAUACGCCCUUUUGGGGAAAGGCUUGCUGCCGGAGGAUCGGCCCGCGUCUGAUUAGCUAGUUGGUGAGGUAACGGCUCACCAAGGCGCCGAUCAGUAGCUGGUCUGAGAGGAUGAUCAGCCACACUGGGACUGAGACACGGCCCAGACUCCUACGGGAGGCAGCAGUGGGGAAUAGUGGACAAUGGGCGCAAGCCUGAUCCAGCCAUGCCGCGUGAGUGAUGAAGGCCUUAGGGUUGUAAAGCUCUUUUAUCCGGGACGAUAAUGACGGUACCGGAGGAAUAAGCCCCGGCUAACUUCGUG